UCCUUCGAUGUCGGCUCUUCCUA
rnacentral:ncRNA from 4 species